GCUGGAGGACAGACGUGUCUUCAUGACCGAGAACUUUCUAGAACCUUCAACCUGGAUCAUGGUCAGGACUGGAGAGGAUCCAGAACCUUCACAAUGAUCCUGGUGUGAAAGCUCACCUGAACUCUGGUCCUCCUGAGAAGGAGGGGCUCUGUUCCCCUGCAGAUGGACUUUCUGAAGGAAGGAGGAGAACCAAAGAGAGGAGGAGAACCAAAGAGAGGAGGGGAACCAAAGAGAGGAGGUGCUGCGUUUGGAGGAGAACCACACAGCCACAGAUGAGUCUGAAGAGCAGGAACCAUAAAGGAGGAGCAGCUCUCGUCACAGUGAAGGUUCUCCAGGAGCUUCUGGACCCAAACGUUCCUUUGGACGUUCCGUCUUUGAAACAAACCUUCAGCUUAGAACUUUGGGUUCUGGUUCUCCAGAGAUGUUCAUGAACACUCUGAUCAGGAGGAACCAGCAGGAACCAUUAGCAGUCUUCUGGGCGUUACACGUUCUACCGUCUACUUCAGCUGGUUCUGCUUCUGAGAACAGAACCAGCUGGUUCAGAGGAGCAGAACAGGAAGUGGAAGCAGCCUCCACCCUCCACUUCCUCUGGGACGUCCUGACAUGAACUCCGAUGUCCUGCUCUGCAGAACGUUUGUCUUCCUGUUCUCUGACCGGAUGAAACUUCUUUCACUUCCUGUUAAGGCCUUUAUUCUGAAAGGUUCUUAGGUUUUAUUGUGAAAGCUGCUUUCCAGAGAAUCACUUCAAUCAAGUUUUAAUAUUUCGUGCAGAGAUACAAUAAAAUGCAAACUUCAAAAUAAAAGUCUGAAAACUCACAUUAAAAUAAAAGCCUCUAAAAAAAUAAAAGAUGAUUUUACCUUUAAUGUGAAAAUCUAAAGUUCUGAGUAUGAUUAUAGAUAAAAGGUGAGAAGAUCAGGAACAAGAAUUAAGUCCUGAUGGUUGGAACAGAACAGAACCGCAGCAUUUUAUUCUGACAGUCAUCUGGAUCAUGAGGUAGAAACAAAGUUCUCCAACGUUCUGCUUCCUCCAGAACCUUCUCACGCCUACUCAGAACAGAGCCUGCAGCUCUCCAGGUUCCGUCUGACAGAACCCGGGCAGCUUCAGUCCACCUGCUGGACCCCAGCGUCUGCACCCUCAGGGCCGGGUCAGACUGGGCUCAGACCGGGUCAAACCAGGUCAUCUUGAAAGGAACAAAAUCCAGACUAAAAUGUAAAAAGACAU